rnacentral:rRNA from 1 species
AACCAACAGGGAUUGCCCUAGUAACGGCGAGUGAAGCGGCAACAGCUCAAAUUUGAAAUCUGGCUCUCGGGCCCGAGUUGUAAUUUGUAGAGGAUACUUUUGAUGCGGUGCCUUCCGAGUUCCCUGGAACGGGACGCCAUAGAGGGUGAGAGCCCCGUCUGGUUGGAUGCCAAAUCUCUGUAAAGUUCCUUCAACGAGUCGAGUAGUUUGGGAAUGCUGCUCUAAAUGGGAGGUAUAUGUCUUCUAAAGCUAAAUACCGGCCAGAGACCGAUAGCGCACAAGUAGAGUGAUCGAAAGAUGAAAAGCACUUUGAAAAGAGAGUUAAAAAGUACGUGAAAUUGUUGAAAGGGAAGCGUUUAUGACCAGACUUGGGCUUGGUUAAUCAUCUGGGGUUCUCCCCAGUGCACUUUUCCAGUCCAGGCCAGCAUCAGUUUUCCCCGGGGGAUAAAGGCGGCGGGAAUGUGGCUCUCUUCGGGGAGUGUUAUAGCCCACCGUGUAAUACCCUGGGGGGGACUGAGGUUCGCGCAUCUGCAAGGAUGCUGGCGUAAUGGUCAUCAACGACCCGUCUUGAAACACGGACCAAGGAGUCGUCUUCGUAUGCGAGUGUUCGGGUGUCAAACCCCUACGCGUAAUGAAAGUGAACGCAGGUGAGAGCUUCGGCGCAUCAUCGACCGAUCCUGAUGUUCUCGGAUGGAUUUGAGUAAGAGCAUACGGGGCCGGACCCGAAAGAAGGUGAACUAUGCCUGUAUAGGGUGAAGCCAGAGGAAACUCUGGUGGAGGCUCGCAGCGGUUCUGACGUGCAAAUCGAUCGUCAAAUAUGGGCAUGGGGGCGAAAGACUAAUCGAACCUUCUAGUAGCUGGUUUCCGCCGAAGUUUCCCUCAGGAUAGCAGUGUUGAACUCAGUUUUAUGAGGUAAAGCGAAUGAUUAGGGACUCGGGGGCGCUAUUUAGCCUUCAUCCAUUCUCAAACUUUAAAUAUGUAAGAAGCUCUUGUUGCUUAAUUGAACGUGAGCAUUCGAAUGUAUCAACACUAGUGGGCCAUUUUUGGUAAGCAGAACUGGCGAUGCGGGAUGAACCGAACGCGAGGUUAAGGUGCCAGAGUAGACGCUCAUCAGACACCACAAAAGGUGUUAGUACAUCUUGACAGCAGGACGGUGGCCAUGGAAGUCGGAAUCCGCUAAGGACUGUGUAACAACUCACCUGCCGAAUGUACUAGCCCUGAAAAUGGAUGGCGCUCAAGCGUCUCACCCAUACCUCGCCCUCAGGGUAGAAACGAUGCCCUGAGGAGUAGGCGGACGUGGAGGUCAGUGACGAAGCCUAGGGCG